rnacentral:lncRNA from 1 species
CGUCAUCUGCUUCGGAUAUGUCCUCAAUGCAUUAGUUGUUGGCGUAAUUUCCCAAUUUGCAAGGGUAGUAAUUCAUCUAGGAAGUUCUUCUAUGUCCUUUGUCGUCUUGGCAUUUGAAUAAAUAAUUGUAUUGUUUUUGCUGUUAUAGAUCCAUUUUCCUCCUUCUUCAUAACUGUUUAUUAACUCUUGAAUAAUAACUUUGAUCAUAAUAGCUCUUUUGUUCUGUAGAAAUUCUACUAUUUCAUGAAUAGUUAGGUCAGGUUGUUCUAUAGGCUCUUUACACAUGAUCGUUCUUGUCAGUCCUAUCUUCACUGCUGUGAUAGG